GGGGCUGUCAUCAGUGAUGUAUCUCUGUGUCUGAAUCAGCCAUGAUGUAAUUCAGCAGUAUUCGUCACUACCACUGAGAUGACAGCCGG